UAAACUGUAGCUCAGUUGGUUAGAGCGCUGCAACAGAAUCGCAGGGCCGCAGGUUCAAUUCCUGCCAGAG
rnacentral:tRNA from 1 species